AUUGAACGCUGGCGGCAGGCCUAACACAUGCAAGUCGAACGGUAACAGGAAGAAGCUUGCUUCUUUGCUGACGAGUGGCGGACGGGUGAGUAAUGUCUGGGAAACUGCCUGAUGGAGGGGGAUAACUACUGGAAACGGUAGCUAAUACCGCAUAACGUCGCAAGACCAAAGAGGGGGACCUUCGGGCCUCUUGCCAUCGGAUGUGCCCAGAUGGGAUUAGCUAGUAGGCGGGGUAACGGCUCACCUAGGCGACGAUCCCUAGCUGGUCUGAGAGGAUGACCAGCCACACUGGAACUGAGACACGGUCCAGACUCCUACGGGAGGCAGCAGUGGGGAAUAUUGCACAAUGGGCGCAAGCCUGAUGCAGCCAUGCCGCGUGUAUGAAGAAGGCCUUCGGGUUGUAAAGUACUUUCAGCGGGGAGGAAGGGAGUAAAGUUAAUACCUUGGCUCAUUGACGUUACCCGCAGAAGAAGCACCGGCUAACUCCGUG
rnacentral:rRNA from 1 species